ensembl:lncRNA
GGAACGUGAGCUGGGUUUAGACCGUCGUGAGACAGAGGACCUGAGCCCUAGGACCAUGCCUCAGGACUACCUGGCCUGAUGACUCCUUGCUGUCCCCAGUCCACCUGGUCGUGCUGCUGCUCAAGUUUCAACUGUUCUGCCUGCGCCUAUGGAACCCGGACGUGCUACAUUGACCUGCUGUUUUCGACUCUUCCUCUCGCUCCACCGCCCCUGCUGUCUCGACCUCUGAAUGCUCGGCUAUUAAAUGCCUACCGACAUUUACUCCUGACCUGUUGCACCCUCUACAACCACUGUGAUUAUUAUUUGACCCUGCUGGUCAUCUAUGAACAUUUGAACAUCUUGAAGAACAAUCUGGCCUUAAUGACCAUGUGCUCUUAUAAUCUCUACCCAGCACAGCUAGAAGAGGACUGGCCACCCCUCAGAGCCUGGUUUCUUCCUAGGUACCGUGCUUCUAAAUCUGCAUUGCUUGCUGUUUGGAGUUUUAGGCUGGGUUUCUGUAUAAGCACUUUGUGUCAUCUGCUGAUGUAAAAAGGACUUUAUAAAUACAUUUGAUUGAUUGAUACAGCCCAUGCCAUAAUUUCCCCCUCUCCUCGUUUUCUUUUGAUCGAUUCGAGGGGAAUGCCGGGGGGAUAAUGGAAUGACAUAGGGUGAGAGAACAUUAUGAAGGGGUGUGAGGAGGGGGAGGUAAAUGACACUGUAUACUAUGAGGAGAAGACGGAGGCAGCAUGAUGUUGCUUUGGCUAACCAUCUCCCCGUCUAACUAUCGCUCUCCAAAAGGAGAUCCUCGCAGGCGUUCAUUUGGGCCAUGACCCUCACUUCAUUCUCCGCCUGGCUCCAUCCCAAAAACACAUUCUGGACACACUGUAACCUCCCUUUAAAUAGCAGGUAUCUGCAGUUCCCUGUCUAAGAAAUGCUUCCCCCAACUCAAGUUAUUACGUUUCGACUGACUAAAAUUCAGCCGGAGGCCUUAUAGAAUGUCCAGCACACAGGCUAAACUAGCCCACACUUGAGGGAAUCCAGCGUAACACCCUUUUCCCCGGUAUGAGCAUAGUAAUUAGCAUUCGGCCUGAGCCCUCUGCUCUCGAAGCGAUCCCUCCGACCUGCUGCACUGUGCGCAGGUGUGUGUGUACCAGCAGUAGAGAAAUUAACAUAUAUCACAUUGUUAUAGUUAGGCCUCAUUUGGUCCCUAAUGGCUGGCCAGGGAUAAUUUAAUCUCUCCACUCUCCGACUGAAACCCACAGGCCUAUUUAAAUCAACCACGAGCAACAUCACCGGCUCGUUUGGGAUAAAUGUCACUCUGAGACGUGCUUAGCCUCCGUUGCCCUUUGCCGGUAACACCGUCCACAGAUACUGGUGAAAGUAGUCACAGGUAAACCAUUCAUGUCCAGGAUUUGUUGUUCAAGUACGCAGUAUGUUUUUUUUUUUAAUGGUCGACAGCCUACUU